rnacentral:lncRNA from 1 species
CUCAAUUUCAACUGCGUGGACUACAUGGGGCAGAACGCGCUGCAGCUAGCUGUGGGCAACGAGCACCUAGAGGUCACUGAACUGCUGCUGAAGAAGGAGAACUUGGCUCGAGUGGGCGACGCGCUGCUGCUGGCCAUCAGCAAGGGCUACGUGCGCAUUGUGGAGGCCAUCCUCAGCCAUCCGGCCUUCGCACAGGGCCAGCGGCUGACGCUCAGCCCGCUGGAGCAGGAGCUGCGCGAUGACGACUUCUAUGCCUACGACGAGGAUGGCACGC